GAGUUUGAUCCUGGCUCAGAGCGAACGCUGGCGGCAUGCUUAACACAUGCAAGUCGCACGGUCAGCAAUGGCAGUGGCGGACGGGUGAGUAACACGUAGGAAUCUAUCUCUGGGUGGGGGACAACAGUGGGAAACUACUGCUAAUACCGCAUGAUACCUGAGGGUCAAAGGCGUAAGUCGCCUGGAGAGGAGCCUGCGUCUGAUUAGCUUGUGGUGGGGUAAAGGCCUACCAAGGCUACGAUCAGUAGCUGGUCUGAGAGGAUGAUCAGCCACAUUGGGACUGAGACACGGCCCAAACUCCUACGGGAGGCAGCAGUGGGGAAUAUUGGACAAUGGGCGAAAGCCUGAUCCAGCAAUGCCGCGUGUGUGAAGAAGGUCUUCGGAUUGUAAAGCACUUUUGGCAGGGACGAUGAUGACGGUACCUGCAGAAUAAAGCCCCGGCUAACUUCGUGCCAGCCGCCGCAGUAAG
rnacentral:rRNA from 1 species